AGAGUUUGAUCCUGGCUCAGGACGAACGCUGGCGGCGUGCCUAACACAUGCAAGUCGAGCGAUGAAAUCCUUCGGGAUGAAUUAGCGGCGGACGGGUGAGUAACACGUGGGUAACCUGCCUCAAAGAGGGGAAUAGCCUUCCGAAAGGAAGAUUAAUACCGCAUAAUAUGUUUUGGUCGCAUGAUCGAAACAUCAAAGGAGCAAUCCGCUUUGAGAUGGACCCGCGGCGCAUUAGCUAGUUGGUGAGGUAACGGCUCACCAAGGCGACGAUGCGUAGCCGACCUGAGAGGGUGAUCGGCCACAUUGGAACUGAGACACGGUCCAGACUCCUACGGGAGGCAGCAGUGGGGAAUAUUGCGCAAUGGGGGAAACCCUGACGCAGCAACGCCGCGUGAAUGAUGAAGGCCUUCGGGUUGUAAAGUUCUGUCUUCUGGGACGAUAAUGACG
rnacentral:rRNA from 1 species